CCUACGGGAGGCAGCAGUGGGGAAUCUUGGGCAAUGGGCGCAAGCCUGACCCAGCGACGCCGCGUGGGGGAUGAAGGCCUUCGGGUCGUAAACCCCUUUUCUGUGGGAAGAUCGUGACGGUACCACAGGAAUAAGCAUCGGCUAACUACGUGCCAGCAGCCGCGGUAAUACGUAGGGUGCGAGCGUUAAUCGGAAUUACUGGGCGUAAAGCGUGCGCAGGCGGCUUUGUAAGACGGAUGUGAAAUCCCUGGCCUUAACCUAGGAACUGCGUCCGUGACUGCAAGGCUAGAGUGCGGCAGAGGGGGGUGGAAUUCCUGGUGUAGCAGUGAAGUGCGUAGAGAUCAGGAGGAACACCAAUGGCGAAGGCAGCCCCCUGGGUUGACACUGACG
rnacentral:rRNA from 1 species